CGCAGGAAGGUAGCUGGGCCAGUCAGUGGUUGUACUGGUGUAAGAGUGUAGGCCGUGACAUAGGCAAAUCCGUGUCACAUUAAGGCUGAGACUUGAUGCAUACCCGUUGUGGGGAAUUCAGUGAUCCUAUGCUGCCGAGAAAAGCCUCUAGUGAGUUCAUACACGGCCCGUACCCCAAACCGACACAGGUGAUCAGGUAGAGAAUACCAAGGCGAUCGAGAGAACUGUGGUUAAGGAACUCGGCAAAAUGCCCCCGUAACUUCGGGAGAAGGGGGACCAUGCCCGGUGAACAUCUUCACGGUGGGAGCUGGGUGUGGUCGCAGAGACCAGAGAGAAGCGACUGUUUACUAAAAACACAGGUCCGUGCGAAGACGUAAGUCGAUGUAUACGGACUGACGCCUGCCCGGUGCUGGAAGGUUAAGAGGACCGGUUAGCCGUAAGGCGAAGCUGAGAAUUUAAGCCCCAGUAAACGGCGGUGGUAACUAUAACCAUCCUAAGGUAGCGAAAUUCCUUGUCGGGUAAGUUCCGACCUGCACGAAUGGCGUAACGACUUCUCUGCUGUCUCGACCACAGACUCGGCGAAAUUGCACUACGAGUAAAGAUGCUCGUUACGCGCGGCAGGACGAAAAGACCCCGGGACCUUUACUAUAGCUUGGUAUUGGCGUUCGAUUCGGUUUGUGUAGGAUAGGUGGGAGACUGUGAAGCAUGCACGCCAGUGUGUGUGGAGUCGUUGUUGAAAUACCACUCUGAUCGUAUUGGACGUCUAACCUCGGCCCAUGAUCUGGGUUAGGGACAGUGCCUGGUGGGUAGUUUAACUGGGGCGGUUGCCUCCUAAAGAGUAACGGAGGCGCCCAAAGGUUCCCUCAGCCUGGAUGGCAAUCAGGUGUUGAGUGCAAGUGCACAAGGGAGCUUGACUGUGAGACUGACACGUCGAGCAGGGACGAAAGUCGGGACUAGUGAUCCGGCACCGGCAAGUGGAAGCGGUGUCGCUCAACGGAUAAAAGGUACCCCAGGGAUAACAGGCUGAUCUUCCCCAAGAGUCCAUAUCGACGGGAUGGUUUGGCACCUCGAUGUCGGCUCGUCGCAUCCUGGGGCUGGAGUAGGUCCCAAGGGUUGGGCUGUUCGCCCAUUAAAGCGGCACGCGAGCUGGGUUUAGAACGUCGUGAGACAGUUCGGUCUCUAUCCGCCGCGCGCGUAAGAAACUUGAGGAAGGCUGUCCCUAGUACGAGAGGACCGGGACGGACGAACCUCUGGUGUGCCAGUUGUUCCACCAGGAGCAUGGCUGGUUAGCUACGUUCGGAAGGGAUAACCGCUGAAAGCAUCUAAGCGGGAAGCCUGUUCCAAGAUGAGGUUUCUCACCACCUUGCGUGGUUAAGGCCCCCUACAGACCAUGGGGUUGAUAGGCCGGAACUGGAAGCGCAGCAAUGCGUGGAGGUGACCGGUACUAAUAGGCCGAGGGCUUACC
rnacentral:rRNA from 1 species